GUUCUUAAUCAGUUAAUUCUGAUCAAGUGUACAUGUAAAAUUUGCAUUUACCAACAAACAAAAUUAUAUUUAUAUAUGUGUGAGGUGAUGUCAGUUUUAUCGCUUUCAUCCCGAUUGUGAUAACCUGUUUAUCACAUACUUCUGCUUUUAUCAGGCCUAGGGCACAGUAUAGGGAAACAACGGUAUGCCACUCAGCGUCGGAAAGUGUCCGCAUUGUUUACUGGCUGCCAACCUGAUUAGUAUAUUGGCAGCCAGUAAACGGCAACAGUUCACUAUAAAAUUGUAUUACAGAAUAAAUGGUUUUGGCCUCGCAACACACCUGGGAUCUAGCUUAAAAAAGUCCCACUUUUGUCUCCCCAGAGUGGCCCUACUGUUUAUCUUUAUACUGUGGUUAGGGUCAGAAUUUAUUUAUCAUGGUCAGAUUCUAUGUCUCGGCCAGCACAGGCAGGAACCACCGAAUUCAAUUGCUAGUUAAUUUACUUGCCUUAGGAAUUACACCCGUUUUCAAAAUCACGCAACCAGGUCGAAAACAGCGGCUAGAGUUGACAUGUCAGUUUUAUGUCACGCGACCACGAAGUUCAAAUUGUUUACAACUUUGAGUUUUGUCGUUCGUUAUUGAUGUACAUGCUUUGUAAAUUCGAAGGAUUGAUAUUUUUGAUAUUCAAGGUUCAAUCGUUCUUUUUUCAAACUUUGAAAGUAAUUCAGAACACAUAUUUUUGUUGUAAUUGAUGAUUUG